CAAGUUGCUCAGGGGAGAAAGUAUCCUUUUACUCCUUGAUCCGUCCAUCGGCAUGGUAGGAUGAGUAGCUGAUCAAAAUUCGUAAGGUCCUCGAUAGGCGUAAGUUGUUCAGGACUGCCAUCGUUAGCUUCAGGUCGUUCCAUAUUGGAUUCAAUUUUUGACGAGAGUAAUGAUUGUAUGAAAAGUCGAAAGUCUUGAUGGUUGCUUUCCCUUUCUCGAAGAUCUAGUACAGUCGAGGAUGUGCUCUGCUCCCCCUGGCCAUCGCUGGUUCUAUUCUGAUUGAGACUAGUGUUGGUGGUUCGGAUCUGGUAAACUCCUCCAGCUACCUCAGCUGUUCUAUUUUCGUCCACUAGGCCAGGAGUUUCCUUAAACAUCACUUCUCCUUGUGAUAUCGAGUAGGGGGGAUGACAACGACUAUGGGAUUCACGAGCCUAGGUCUCAGAUGGCCAGAAGGAGGUGGAGGGAAGGGUGUUUGACAAGAUCGGCCAGUUCGUUUCAGGUUCGUCUCCGCAAACUCUUUCUCGUCGAAACCCGUCUAGAUUUCAUACUGUAGCCCCUGACCGACUCUCGUUUGAAUGCUUGUAGGAUCGAUUCUCCUUGAAAUGGUUGAAGUGUGAAGGUCAAGUAUGAUUUCCGUUCUUUAAAGCUGGUGAAGUUCGCACUUUUCUCCCGAAAAUCGAGUCCCGUCAACGGCGUUUCCUUCCAUGAUUCGGAAUUGUUGAGAUCAACCCAACCCCUACAAGUUAUUCGUUUGGUUUCGAAAUCAGGUCAGGGACUGAUUCCUGUGUUUUGAUUUCGAUUUCUUCAAGUUUAGUUUAAGUCUGAGGUGUUCGCCGGAAUGGUUUUUACACACCCGUCGGAAUUCUUGGUGAAUUCCCAAAUUCUGGGAAGAUGUCAUGGGGGAUUAUCUUGGCAGUCCCUAGGAUCUGUGAUUACGUUUUGCUCACUAGUCUUCUAGUAAUUGUGUUCAAUAUCUAUACUUAUAGUAAACUUGAAGAAAUCGGACAGUUCAGUCACAAAUAGCUCUUUUUUACUGUCAUGGCCUAUAACUUUCUGUUUGUGGCUGAAUGCACCCAACAGAUUGCAUGAUGGGUUUGACGAGUCUGAAAAAUUGUAGGUUCAAUUAAAUUGGUAAAAUAUAGAUUAAUUAAUUAUAGUUUUGGUCUAAUAUUAUUAAUAUGUGUAUGGAUUUACAGAUUAAGUAAUUUUGUAUAUGAUUAUGAUUUAAAAUAUGAUAAAUAUAAUUAAUUGACCACAAUUUGAUGAACAAUAUUAUAAAUAGAACUUGUGUAUAAUUAUUAGGAUUCGAUAAAUUUCAGUUAGUUUGAAUUAAAUCGUAAAAAUUAUUUGAUUAUAAGUUAAUAAACAGAUUAAUGAUUAGUAAUCAAUUGUGUAUAAAAUUUAUUUACUACAGUUAUUUGGUUUAAAUAAAUUGAUAGUAGUAUUAAUUUAAUAUCUAAAGACUUCUUAUCAAUAGAAUUGAAUUAAAGGGACUAUAGAUUAAUAGUUGAAGUAACGUAAAACGCUAGAAUUGAUUUAAUGAAUUAUUAGUGGGAGUGUAUUUCCUUAGGAAUCGGUGGUUUACAUUGAAUAUUUUCCUCUCACUUCUUAAGUGAUUAUGAAGAAAUGGUUUUUCCCCAAGCAGUCAAAUCGUUGCCUAAGCUCGUUUCACUGUUCGAUCGAAUUUAGGUUAAUCAAAUUAUCUCAUCUUUCGGUUUAUAAGGACGAUCAAGUUUCCGGCUUCAUAUUGGACCCUCCCCGCUUAAUUUAAUAAGGUGGGUUGGUUUAAAAGGGGUCAUAUUUUUCGAUGCAGUAUUUAGGUUAUAUUUAAUUAAUUGAGUUAUUUGAUUUAAUGUUAUGAUUUAUGAUUAAGUUAUAUAUGAUGUUUAUGAUAUUACUUGACGUGGUAUAUGAUAGUUCUUUUAUGGCAUUACUUUUAAAUACCUUGAUUAUGUUUCAUAGAUUAACAUAAGGCUAGACUACGAUGACGUUAGACUACCUUAUAAAUAGACGAUGAACCAACAAAUAAUUACCCCUCGCCUAGAUGAAUAAUAGGUGAUUAAAAUAUGAAAUCACUAUCUAUACUAUCGCCCUCGUGACUUGCGCCACUAUUGUCCUUAUGAAUUAUGAAUUGGGCUGCUAGUAUUAUCCUUAUGAAUUAUUGUCCGAUGGAUACAUACUUCGGGACAUUUACGAAUCUUACUAAUGGGUGGUAGGGCUAGUUAGUUGAGUUAGAAGAUCCUCAUAAGAAUAAGAUACCAUGGAUAAGGUUAAGAAUAAGAGUAAGAAUUAGCGUUACGAUUACAUAUGAUAACUAACAUAUGAAUUAUCUAUGAACUAUGAUACUACGAUUCAUAAUGAACCUAACUUGAUUAAGUUGUGUUUCAACCUAUGUUGAUGUGUACUUGUUAUGUUGCUAUGACUAAGAUUUGCACUUAUGUUAGGAUUACAUAAAGAUGGAACUUUUUAUGUGACAUGUUAUUUAGAAAUUGUUGAUGAUUGUUAUGAAAUAACAUGUUUUAUAUUUCAAUAUUAUUUUGGAAUUCUAUUUUAUGAUCUGACACUAAACCACCCACCAGGGUGUUUUGAAAGUUAAUGCAGGAGUGGAAUGGAGUUGAUUCAGGAUGUGGCGACGUGAACUUGUAUUUUCAGAUAAUUCUUCCAGUUAUAUAAGGAGACUAGUUUUCAACAUUUAUAAUACGAAACAUGUUUUCAAAAUUUAUGAUAAUUAUUUUUAGUUGUGUUAUUUAAAAUCUUUAUAUUUUUAUUUAUUUACUUUUAUUUAUUAAGUUCCCUAGCUGGGGCAUUUUGAUCAUUGA
rnacentral:lncRNA from 1 species